UACGUAGGGUGCGAGCGUUACUCGGAAUCACUGGGCGUAAAGGGUGCGUAGGCGGGUCUUUAAGUCAGGGGUGAAAUCCUGGAGCUCAACUCCAGAACUGCCUUUAAAACUGCAUCGCUUGAAUCCAGGAGAGGUGAGUGGAAUUCCGAGUGUAGAGGUGAAAUUCGUAGAUAUUCGGAAGAACACCAGUGGCGAAGGCGGCUCACUGGACUGGUAUUGACGCUGAGGUGCGAAAGCGUGGGGAGCAAACAGG
rnacentral:rRNA from 1 species